GUCGAAAAGGUGCGCGUGACUUCGAGCGGCACACCAUGAUCCGCAAAACCGAUCUUGACCGAAGUUCCCCCGAUUUCGGCAACGGCGAUCGUU
rnacentral:sRNA from 1 species